UCUUAUCCAGAGUGGUGGAGGGACUGGCCCGAUGAAACCCGGCAACUGGCCUUGUUUUUAUUAAAAAUAAGGUGCUGUGCUAAAUCCAGCAGAUUUUGAUUCUGGCAGAUAAGA
rnacentral:ncRNA from 1 species